AUUGAUUUUAUGCUUGCAUAAAUGAUUUUUGGAUUCGGAGCGAGUGGCGAACUGGUGAGUAACACGUGGGUAACCUGCCCCGAAGCGGGGGAUAACAUUUGGAAACAAGUGCUAAUACCGCAUAAUUAGUUGGAACCGCAUGGUUCCAACUUGAAAGAUGGCUCUGCUAUCACUUUGGGAUGGACCCGCGCCGUAUUAGUUAGUUGGUGAGAUAAAAGCCCACCAAGACGAUGAUACGUAGCCGACCUGAGAGGGUAAUCGGCCACAUUGGGACUGAGACACGGCCCAGACUCCUACGGGAGGCAGCAGUAGGGAAUCUUCCACAAUGGACGAAAGUCUGAUGGAGCAACGCCGCGUGAGUGAUGAAGGUUUUCGGAUCGUAAAACUCUGUUGUUAAAGAAGAACAAGUGUUAGAGUAACUGUUAACACUUUGACGGUAUUUAACCAGAAAGCCACGGCUAACUACGUGCCAGCAGCCGCGGUAAUACGUAGGUGGCAAGCGUUGUCCGGAUUUAUUGGGCGUAAAGCGAGCGCAGGCGGUUUUGUAAGUCUGCUGCGAAAGCCCUCAGCUCAACUGAGGAAGUGCAGUGGAAACUACAAAACUUGAGUACAGAAGAGGAAAGUGGAACUCCAUGUGUAGCGGUGAAAUGCGUAGAUAUAUGGAAGAACACCAGUGGCGAAGGCGGCUUUCUGGUCUGUUACUGACGCUGAGGCUCGAAAGCAUGGGUAGCGAACAGGAUUAGAUACCCUGGUAGUCCAUGCCGUAAACGAUGAAUACUAGGUGUUGGAGGGUUUCCGCCCUUCAGUGCCGCAGCUAACGCAUUAAGUAUUCCGCCUGGGGAGUACGACCGCAAGGUUGAAACUCAAAGGAAUUGACGGGGGCCCGCACAAGUGGUGGAGCAUGUGGUUUAAUUCGAUGCUACGCGAAGAGCCUUACCAGCUCUUGACAUCUUCUGCCAACCCAAGAGAUUGGGCGUUCCCUUCGGGGACAGAAUGACAGGUGGUGCAUGGUUGUCGUCAGCUCGUGUCGUGAGAUGUUGGGUUAAGUCCCGCAACGAGCGCAACCCUUAUUAUUAGUUGCCAGCAUUUAGUUGGGCACUCUAGUGAGACUGCCGGUGAUAAA
rnacentral:rRNA from 1 species